UACGUAGGGUGCGAGCGUUAAUCGGAAUUACUGGGCGUAAAGCGUGCGCAGGCGGUUUUGUAAGCCAGAUGUGAAAUCCCCGGGCUCAACCUGGGAAUGGCAUUUGGGACUGCAUGGCUAGAGUUUGGCAGAGGGGGGUAGAAUUCCGACGUGUAGCAGUGAAAUGCGUAGAUAUGUGGAGGAACACCGAUGGCCGGAAGGCAGCCCCCUGGGUCAAGACUGACGCUCAUGCACGAAAGCGUGGGGAGCAAACAGG
rnacentral:rRNA from 1 species